GGGUGAGUAACACGUGGAGAACCUUCCCUUUCAGCGGGGGAUAACCCUUGGAAACGAUGACUAAUACCGCAUAGGACUUUGAGUCACCUGACUUAAAGAGGAAAGCCGGCUUCGGCUGUCACUGAAAGAGGGCUCCGCGGUGCAUUAGCUAGACGGUAAGGUAACGGCUUACCAUGGCCAUGAUGCAUAGCCGACAUGAGAGGGUGAUCGGCCACAUUGGGACUGAGACACGGCCCAAACUCCUACGGGAGGCAGCAGUAGGGAAUCUUCCGCAAUGGACGCAAGUCUGACGGAGCAACGCCGCGUGUGUGAAGAAGGUCUUCGGAUCGUAAAGCACUGUUGUUAGAGAAGAACACCCGGUAGAGUAACUGCUACCGGACUGACGGUAUCUAACCAGAAAGCCACGGCUAACUACGUGCCAGCAGCCGCGGUAAUACGUAGGUGGCAAGCGUUGUCCGGAUUUAUUGGGCGUAAAGGGAGCGCAGGUGGUGACUUAAGUCUGAUGUGAAAGCCCACGGCUCAACCGUGGAGGGUCAUUGGAAACUGGGUCACUUGAGUACAGAAGAGGUAAGUGGAAUUCCAAGUGUAGCGGUGAAAUGCGUAGAUAUUUGGAGGAACACCAGUGGCGAAGGCGACUUACUGGUCUGUAAUUGACGCUGAGGCUCGAAAGCGUGGGUAGCAAACAGGAUUAGAUACCCUGGUAGUCCACGCCGUAAACGAUGAGUGCUAAGUGUUAGGGGGUUUCCGCCCCUUAGUGCUGGAGUUAACGCAUUAA
rnacentral:rRNA from 1 species